GAAAUUAGAGUCAGUGUUUGUUUGCCGAUAACACAAUAUAGUAUAUUAACGAAUUAUAUAAUAUAUUAACGAAUAUUAAUAGUGACUUAUUUUUAUAUUUUUAAUGAAAAUAUUCAUUUUCGGUAGAGUCAGUGUUUCUCUCAAGAUAAUAGGACGAUUAUUCAUCAUGCGAUGAGAUAUUUCUGAAACGACGACUUCCCAUGGAUCACGACAACUGAUGGCAACGCAGAUUCUUCGCAUCUAAUGGUGAGUCGCAUGCAUUUUUGUUCCUCUGGUUACUCAAUCAUGUCGCAGG